GAGAGGAGAGGAGACAUGGGAGUGGAGGUUAUGAUGUCAUGGGGUGUCGUCUUCAGUUCAUCUUGUUUCUAAUCCUCAGGUGGUCCUGUAGAAAGUAAUGUGUCAUCAUGUGAUACAGUGUGAUACUAUGUGUUGUCCUGAUCUGAUCUCGUCCUCUUGGUUUCUGGCGCUCCGUCUGAAUGGAUCAAUGUCUUGUGAUUUGUCGUUGUAGGUAGGGGUCAGGGUUGAAAGGUAGGGGUCAGGGUUUAAAGGUAGGGGUCAGGGUUUAAAUCCUGGGGUCGGUGUUUAAAGUAGGUGUCGUUAUAUUAGGUACAGUGUGAUGCUAUGUGUUCCAGGCCUGGUGAGGGCUGCUGGGUCGUUAUAUUAGGUACAGUGUGAUGCUAUGUGUUCCAGGCCUGGUGAGGGCUGCUGGGUCGUUAUAUUAGGUACAGUGUGAUACUAUGUGUUCCAGGCCUGCUGAGGGCUGCUGGGUCGUUAUAUUAGGUACAGUGUGAUACUAUGUGUUCCAGGCCUGGUGAGGGCUGCUGGGUCGUUAUAUUAGGUACAGUGUGAUGCUAUGUGUUCCAGGCCUGGUGAGGGCUGCUGGGUCGUUAUAUUAGGUACAGUGUGAUGCUAUGUGUUCCAGGCCUGGUGAGGGCUGCUGGGUCGUUAUAUUAGGUACAGUGUGAUACUAUGUGAUCCAGGCCUGGUGAGGGCUGCUGGGUCGUUAUAUUAGGUACAGUGUGAUACUAUGUGUUCCAGGCCUGGUGAGGGCUGCUGGGUCGUUAUAUUAGGUACAGUGUGAUACUAUGUGUUCCAGGCCUGGUGAGGGCUGCUGGGUCGUUAUAUUAGGUACAGUGUGAUGCUGUGUGUUCCAGGCCUGGUGAGGGCUGCUGGGUCGUUAUAUUAGGUACAGUGUGAUGCUAUGUGUUCCAGGCCUGGUGAGGGCUGCUGUGUCCGUCGUGAAGGAGUCGUCCUACAGGCCAAGGACACGUCUGUGGUGAGGCCUUCGUCUAGAGCAGCCUGCCGCUCUGCUCCCGUUGACCGACCCGACCCCCCCCCGCCCAGAUAUAUCUGCCCUUCUCUUAACCUAGCUAGGCCAAUGACAUCUCUUCUCUGA